AUUCUUUGAGGUGGUAAAUUUCGUGUCAACCACACGCCGCCGGUAUGGACAGGGGAAAACCGAGAGAUGCAGGGGAAUGGCACGCCUACCCAAAAAU
ncrna:unclassified sequences skipping-rope RNA